GAAAGGUGAUGAAUAAAAUACCAAGAGAAACUAACCCCAGGACGGCAGGAAGAGUUCGGGAUUCACCCCUAGUGAAACUGAAAAUUAUUUAAAACAACAAACAACCAUUGACCAUUUAAAGCCUCUGAAAUGGUCCUAAGGGCAAACAGCAAAUGAAGAAACAUCUGCUUUAAAAAAUCUGUGAAAACUCUUGCAUCAGAAUGCCAGAGUCUAUGGUAUUUAAACCAAACCUCUCCCUUUGUUCAACAAGACAGACUCCACUCCAGACUGCUGCAACCAAGAACCUCUCUCUUCCCAAGAUGAAGUCUCACUGUGUCAUCCAAGCUGGAGUACAGUGGGAUGAUCAUAACUCACUGCAGCCUCAAACUUCUGGCCUCAAGCAAUCCUCCUGCCUUUGUCUUCUGAGUACCUGGGACUACAGGUUAAAGAUGAGAACAAAAGGAAGACUUCAAGCUGGAAUUGCAGAAGGAGGAUUUGAGAUUAAUGCUGGGUCUGAAAGUUGAGCAAAAGUGUGAUGGCAAGAUUGAGUAAAGGACAGGAUGGUCUGAAUGAAGCAAUUAUUGUUGGAAAUGUUAAAAAUGCAGCAGAAUAGCCUGGGAAAAAUGGCAAGACUCUGUCUCUUCAAAAAAUACAAAAAUUAGCCAGAUGUGGUGGCUUGAGCCUGUGGUUCCAGCUAGUUGGGAGACCGAGGUGGGAGGAUCACCUGAGCCUGGGAGAUUGCGGAUACAGUGAGCCAUGAUUGCCCCACUGUGUUCCAGCCUGGACAACACAGUAAGACCCUGUAUUAAAAAGAAAAAAAAAAUGCAGCAGAGUAAAUUCCUGUAUGAUCAACUUCUUGCAAUGAAUGUUUACAGCUGUUGCUGGAUUAGAAAAUCAGUUUGAAAACAUACUUUCCAUAUUUCUUUUGAGUCUAUGUGUACUUAGUCUAAUUCAUGCAUUUAUCCAGUAGACAUUCAUUGAAUACCUACUGUCAGGCAUCAUUCUAGGGGCUGAGGGUGUCUCCAAGAACAAAUCUAGCUGUGGCCUUAAAGAGAUCCUAGAAUGUAGACUAAGAAUUAACAGAAAAAAACACUAAAAUUUGUACGCUUAUUAAUCACUGUGUAAGUAAUAAAUGCAAGUCUCAUUUAAAUAAAACA
rnacentral:lncRNA from 13 species